rnacentral:lncRNA from 10 species
CUGUCACAAGCACAUGGAGGGGACAAAACCAGCAACUGGCGUCAGUGGAGACGGAAGCUGGUGGAGUGAACAUCCUGCAAAGGCCAAAAGCCCUGGUUAAGAUGAGCAGGACCUGCCCAGACUCAGGAGGCACCUCCCAGGCAACAAGGCAAGUGGUGUCAGCUCAUUUGACACAGUGGGAGCAGAGCAGAUCGGAGGUUGAGUAACUCUUUCA